UAUCUGAGAAUUUUAUUGCAGAGUUCAUUGUUUGAAGAAAUAAUUGAUGAGUCAGAAACAUCAACAUCUUAUAAGAUGCAUGAUCUGGUCCACGACCUUGCAGAGUCAUUGUCAAAGUCUUCCAAAGUCAUUAAUGAUCGGGAUAUAUGUACAGUAGACAAUGGUGAUCAGAUUCGUUACCUUGCAAUAGACUCAUCUGGUGGCAGAGAAGACAAAGAAAAACUUUUGGAGAGUCUAUCAACUUCACUUCAUACAUUGUUCAUAGUAAGGGGGACUUAUCUGGCGAUAUGUUAAUGAAGUUGAAGAAUUUGCACGUUUUGAAUUUGUCUCGUGCAAAAAAUCAGAAUUUGCCAAUCUCAAUUGGCAAACUGAUACAUUUGCGGUACGUUAACCUUUCGAGGUCUUCAAUCAGUAUUUUGCCGGACUCCCUUUGCAAGCUUUAUAAUUUGCAGACAUUGACGCUAAGUCGCUCAGAAGUUAUAGAUCUUCCGAAGGGGAUGCGCGAUUUGAUUAGCUUGAGGCAUCUCCACUUUUACACCACUAAUAAUAAUAAAGAAUUUCAAAUGCCACUGAAUAUGGACGGCUGACUUGCCUUCAGACGCUAGAGUUCUUUAAAAUGGGUCAAGAGAAGGGUCGACGAAUUGGAGAGCUUGGAAGCUUGAAGUACCUCAAAGGCAAUUUGGAGAUACGCAAUCUGGAACUAGUAAAGGAUAAGGAAGAAGCUGAGGAAGCAAAACUAUCUGAAAAGGCAAAUCUAUUUGGGCUGCGACUUGAGUGGGCCCGUGAUCGAGAAUGCGACAACUACAACUAUGAUGAAGAUGUGUUAGAUGGCCUUCAACCCCACCCAAAUUUGGAGGAGUUGGUAAUUUGGGGUUUUAUGGGCGAUCAAUUUCCUCGAUGGUUAAUGGAUUUGCCAACAACAACAAGACUCCCCAAGUUAGCGAGUUUGGAGUUUUAUCACUGCCACAGAUGCAGAGAACUCCUUCCCCUGCAAAACUUUACGCCUCUUAAAAAGCUGCAGAUUUGGGGUUGCGAUGGGUUGACGAAUCUGCCCGGUGAGAUGCUACACUCUUGUGCCUCCCUCCAGAAGCUUCGGGUGCGUUGGUGCGACAAUCUUAUCUCCUUUCCGCUUGAUUUGCAACAAACACCUUCUCUCUUGAAGCUGGAAUUAUACGAGUGUCCCAAACUGAAAACAAGCAUGACGCCCAAAGGAUUUGGUUUUCUAACCAGCUUAAACAGGCUUGCAAUUGGUCCCUUCUCAGAUGAUGGUGAUGAUCAUGAAAAUUCUUCAAUUUACAAUGAGUUUGAUUGGUCUAGAUUGAUAUCCUCCUCCUCCUCUUCGUCAUGCGCACUCCGUGUAUUAUGCUUACGUGGGUUGCCACACAUGGAGUCCCUGCCACAUCAGAUCCAAUACUUGACCACUCUGACGUCACUAUGGCUAUUUAACUUCGGAGGUAUAAAAGCUCUGCCAGAUUGGUUCGGAAACUUCGCUGCUCUUGAAAAACUAUAUUUAUACUUUUUCAAAGAGCUUCGACAUCUACCCUCUGAGGAUGCCAUGAGAAGUCUCACCAAACUAAAACAUCUGGAGGUUGAAGGUUCUCCUCUGUUAAAAGAAAGAUGCACUCCUGAGAGCAGCGGCCCCGACUCCCAGUGGUCCAAAGUUUCUCACAUUCAAUACCUAGGCAUAUUUUGAUUAACCGUCAUCUUCAAAUCAAAUUCAAUCAUGAUUGAUAGAAGAAUAGCUUCACGAACAGAGGUUAGAAUUUUGAAGCUUCUUCACACCAUAACUUUUGGCCUGCAUUUCCUACAAAUGACCUAUCAACGUUUAGAACAACUAGCAGUAAUUGCUCAUUCAAUUGCAAACCCAGUAUCUUGGACAGAAAUGUUUAUGAUGGCCCUCUUUUCUUUCAUAUUGCUGCCUCAAAUAGCCAAAUAUCCUUAUUGUCGAAGCUUGCACACUGUCAAUCUGCCAUUUCAGUCACGAGAAAGUUUUCAGUCUAUGUUUUUGAUUGCUCAAGACUGUCAGCUGGCCAGUACGAGCUGCUCGGAAAAAAUUCCUUGCCCCAGCUUAUUGGAUGUUUUUGAACAGCUAUCAUCACCAGGACUUUUUGAUGAAGAUUUGCCUUCAUGAAGAUUCUCGAGUGGUGCUAUGCUCAGAGCUCAUGGGAGACCUUAAUGGCUCAAUUACUGUCGUGCCUAUCAAUAUCCCAUUAUUCCUUCUUCAAGCACAUCAUUUUCAAACUGAUGACAAACAUAUAGAAUGGCACUCUCUUUCGCUUCUAAGUGACUGAGAUGGCCAAAGCUGGAGAUCUACAUUGUGAAUGCGAUGCCUUCAACCUGUUGGUCAUGACAUGAGGUAGUAAUUCAUCAAUUAUGGACCUCAUUUGCUAUUCUGUCUCAUACUGCUUGCCUCUCAAAUUAGCUGCAAUUUAGUUGCAGAAAAUUGUCAGUCUGUCUUAUGACUGCUUAUUGUCUGUUAGUUGGCCUCUGCAAGCUACUUCCCACCCUUCUUGAAGUUGUAUCUUAGCUCCAUUACAUAGAACAUGAUUUUAUGAGAGUGCCUGUUCUCCAUUUGCAGUUAAAAAUCGUAUGUCUAGAAUGAUGCUCUUACUUCAAGAUUCAUAGUUAUUCCAAAAUUAUUGGGUCUAUAUGAUGUUGAGUAAAUCUUAUGUUGGUAGUCACUUGACCAAAAAUGAAGAAUAGCAUGAUGUUGUCCUUUUCAA